rnacentral:piRNA from 1 species
AAAAAAAUUAAAAGAUGGACUGG